GUGCUCAAUUUGGCAGCAAGGGUACUAAAAUAGGAAUGACACAGAGGUUAGCAUGGCCCCUGCACAGGAUUGACACACACGCAAAUUCCUGGAGCAUUCCACAUUUUA
rnacentral:snRNA from 1 species